rnacentral:rRNA from 1 species
CCUACGGGGGGCAGCAGUGAGGAAUAUUGGUCAAUGGACGAGAGUCUGAACCAGCCAGGUAGCGUGAAGGAUGACUGCCCUAUGGGUUGUAAACUUCUUUUAUAUGGGAAUAAAAUGUUCCACGUGUGGGAUUUUGUAUGUACCAUAUGAAUAAGGAUCGGCUAACUCCGUGCCAGCAGCCGCGGUAAUACGGAGGAUCCGAGCGUUAUCCGGAUUUAUUGGGUUUAAAGGGAGCGUAGGUGGAUUGUUAAGUCAGUUGUGAAAGUUUGCGGCUCAACCGUAAAAUUGCAGUUGAAACUGGCAGUCUUGAGUACAGUAGAGGUGGGCGGAAUUCGUGGUGUAGCGGUGAAAUGCUUAGAUAUCACGAAGAACUCCGAUUGCGAAGGCAGUUCACUGGACUGCAACUGACACUGAGGCUCGAAAGUGUGGGUAUCAAACAGGAUUAGAUACCCGUGUAGUC